GCUUGGAGGAAAGAAAUCAUGUUCGUCGAUAAUGUGGUGCUCGCAGGGGUGGUCACGGUCGGCCUAAUGGUCGCCUUCCUCGGCGGUUUCGGAUAUUUCAUCUGGCGGGACGCGCAAAAGAAGCGCUGAUCCAGCCGGAUCACAGAGCACGCAAGGCAUUUGGGCGACUUAGGUCGCCCUUUUUUU
rnacentral:sRNA from 1 species